UACGUAGGGUGCGAGCGUUGCCCGGAAUUAUUGGGCGUAAAGAGCUCGUAGGCGGUCUGUUGCGUCCGCUGUGAAAACUCGGGGCUUAACCCCGAGCCUGCAGUGGAUACGGGCAGACUAGAGGUAGGUAGGGGAGAAUGGAAUUCCCGGUGUAGCGGUGAAAUGCGCAGAUAUCGGGAGGAACACCGGUGGCGAAGGCGGUUCUCUGGGCCUUACCUGACGCUGAGGAGCGAAAGCGUGGGGAGCGAACAGG
rnacentral:rRNA from 1 species